rnacentral:rRNA from 1 species
AAGGAGGGUGAGAGCGUUAUUCGGAAUUACUGGGCGUAAAGCGCGUGCAGGCGGUUUGGCAAGUCUGAUGUGAAAGCCCCGGGCUUAACCUGGGAAGUGCAUUGGAAACUGCCGGGCAUGAGUACUGGCGAGGGAGGGGUAAUUCCCGGGAUCGCAGUGAAAUCCAUGGAUAGCGGCGUGAAUACGGGUGGGAGUGGCUACCAACGAGUGGGGUACACCCGCUGAGGCGCGAGAACGUUUUGAACAAACAU